GCUCAAUUCACUACCAGGUUCUGUAGCUGCAUCUCUCUGUGUGUGCUCGGGUGGGGUGGGGACAGAGGUCAUCACUGCGGCAGUGUGGAGCACCCACCCCCAGAAGAGCAAGGCCAAGCAUGCGUGGUGAACUUGGCCUCGAGAAUGGAGACACACUGGGAAAGCGAGGGUUAACUUUUCCAGGCCUGGGACAGCCCGCCUCCUUGUGGAAGAGACCCUGGGCUGGCAGGGUGGGACCAUCUUUGUUCAGCCCCCUGGGUCUAGACAAAGUGGGUCAUUUGGGAUACCUCUGAAUGCCUGGCGUGUUCCACUCAGGUCACUCUGGCUGCUGUGAGGAAACUAAAUUGAAGGGGACAAGACUGGACGGCGAGGGACCAGCUGGGAAGCUCUUGAGAAAUGGCAAGUUGGCCGCCAGCAGCUCCGAGUUGACACCUGACCAGCUCAACAAGCGCGGCAAAUAGAGGAAUUCUCUUCUCAGCAGUCCCUGCCCAAGCCCCAGGGCUGGCUCUCAUGGACAGCUUGGACCACCAUGGCGGCCGGGAUGGAGUACGCUGGCUGGCCAGGUCUGACUGACCGGUCUCCCUCUGGAGCGGAAGGGCGAGGU
rnacentral:lncRNA from 1 species